CAUUACUCUAUUAAUGAGGGCAGAUC
rnacentral:piRNA from 1 species